GGAAGUCCAAAAUCCAUCCGUUCCGUACAAUCAAACGUGGUAAUCGUAAGGGAAUCUUUUGGCUGCCGGUAGGUGGCUAAAAUGGAUUGUCCUCCAGCCACCAGGUGACGCGAGUGUCUUCGUGAGGACGAAAUAUUUGCCAUUUGUUUCCGAGACGCUGACUGAAAGUGUAUUUCAUUACGGAAUUGCGGUGUCGAUCUAAAUUUUCAGCCAUGAAAUGGCAAUCUGGCGUAUAAUAUUACUUGGCCAAAUAAUGUGACGACAUGGGUGGAAACUGCUGUCCAAUGUCGGCCAUUGUUAGCUGUACCUAUACGGCUGUCGGCUGCACGUCUCAUCUCGUACAAAAACACUUCAGAGCUAGUAAAGUUUUAUUGGUUAAUUUUCAGGUUGGAGAAGGAGAUCCCUUUGCUCAACCAUUGCAGAAAUUGUGAACACGUACGACAAAGUCUGAGCUUCUUGGCUGUUGUAUCAUCAACAUGGUUUUGUUGCAGCCAGCUGGUGAAAGAUGUAAUCGAGUCAAGUUGAGCUGCAGGUGCUGCAUGCAGUUUAUCAAGCUGGUGUUAUCCCAAGUGUCACUCCAGAAGACUUCUGGAAUUGGAGUUCAUGGUCAGUGUGAUGUUUGAGCUUUUUAUGAUAUUGCUGUUUGGUGUACAGUGGUUUUGCAGUCCUUUUCCAGUCGACAGAUGCUCUGAAAUGGAGCUUGUGCAGACUUGCAGUUCAACAACACACUAAAAAUGUGGCGUUUGCCUAUGUUGGUGUCCAUGCAUAUGCUGUGUUGAAAAGUUGGGUUAAAUAGUCAAUGUUGCCUGAUGGCUGUCGGUCUUGUUUUAUCGGCUGCAUUUUGUCGACAUGUCGUCUCUUGCUACCUGUACCGGCGUUGAGUUUAAUCGUUUGCUGCCGUUCCAUAGACUUGAUCCAUUGGUAAAACUAAGGAGAAGUUGCUGAAAUUCAAGACUCGUCAAUAAAUUAUGUAGAUGUAGACAAAUUACAAGUGCAUAUCUGGGCUCCCUU